UCGAGAAUCUUCCGCAAUGCACGAAAGUGUGACGGAGCGACACCGCGUGAUUGAUGAAGCCCUUCGGGGUGUAAAGGUCUUUUAUAGAUGAAGAAGUAUAUUGACAUUAGUCUAUGAAUAAGGGGCUCCUAAUCUCGUGCCAGCAGGAGCGGUAAUACGAGAGCCCCGAGCGUUAUUCGGAAUUAUUGGGCGUAAAGGGUGCGUAGGUGGCUGUGUUAGUCGUAUGUCAAAUACCUGGGCUCAACCCGGGAAAGGCACGCGAAACGGCACAGCUUGAGUAUGUGAGAGGUGUGCGGAACUCAAGGUGUAGGGGUGAAAUCCGUUGAUAUCUUGGGGAACACCAAAUGCGAAGGCAGCACACUGGCACAUUACUGACACUCAAGCACGAAAGCGUGGGUAG
rnacentral:rRNA from 1 species